GCCUAGGUGGCUCAGUCUGUUAAGCGUCUGACUUUGGCUCAGGUCACGAUCUCUCAAUUUGUGGGUUCAAGCCCCACGUCAGGCU
rnacentral:tRNA from 1 species